rnacentral:rRNA from 1 species
GAUGAACGCUGGCGGUAUGCUUAACACAUGCAAGUCGAACGGUCACUUCGGUGAUAGUGGCGGACGGGUGAGUAACGCGUGAGAAUCUGUCUUCAGGUCGGGGACAACAGUUAGAAAUGACUGCUAAUACCGGAUGUGCCUUUGGGUGAAAGAUUUAUUGCCUGAAAAAGAGCUCGCGUCAGAUUAGCUAGUAGGUGGUGUAAGAGACUACCUAGGCUCCGAUCUGUAGCUGGUCUGAGAGGACGACCCGCCACACUGGAACUGAGACACGGUCCAGACGCCUACGGGGGGCAGCAGUGGGGAAUUUUCCGCAAUGGGCGAAAGCCUGGCGGAGCAAUACCGCGUGAGAGACGAAGGCUUUUGGAUCGUAAACCUCUUUUCUCAAGGAAGAUGAUGACGGUACUUGAGGAAUAAGCAUCGGCUAACUCUGUG